rnacentral:rRNA from 1 species
AGAGUUUGAUCAUGGCUCAGGACGAACGCUGGCGGCGUGCUUAACACAUGCAAGUCGAACGAUGAAGCCCAGCUUGCUGGGUGGAUUAGUGGCGAACGGGUGAGUAACACGUGAGUAACCUGCCCUUGACUUCGGGAUAACUCCGGGAAACCGGGGCUAAUACCGGAUAUGAGCUACCUUCGCAUGGGGGUGGUUGGAAAGUUUUUCGGUCAGGGAUGGGCUCGCGGCCUAUCAGCUUGUUGGUGGGGUGAUGGCCUACCAAGGCGACGACGGGUAGCCGGCCUGAGAGGGCGACCGGCCACACUGGGACUGAGACACGGCCCAGACUCCUACGGGAGGCAGCAGUGGGGAAUAUUGCACAAUGGGCGCAAGCCUGAUGCAGCGACGCCGCGUGAGGGAUGAAGGCCUUCGGGUUGUAAACCUCUUUCAGCAGGGAAGAAGCGCAAGUGACG